GUGUUGUACGAAUUGAGAAAAGGUUAGCUCUGCCCUUGAGAAGGAUGGAAGAGGCCCUCGGGCUUGAAAAUAAUACACACAGUUAAAGAAUUGCCACCUACUUUGUGGCAUCUAAUCAUUGUUU